rnacentral:misc_RNA from 1 species
GAUGAAGAACGUAGCGAAAUGCGAUAAGUAAUGUGAAUUGCAGAAUUCAGUGAAUCAUCGAAUCUUUGAACGCACAUUGCGCCCGCCAGCAUUCUGGCGGGCAUGCCUGUUCGAGCGUCAUUUCAACCCUCGAGCCCCCCCGGGGGCCUCGGUGUUGGGGAACGGCACACCAGCCGCCCCCGAAAUGCAGUGGCGACCCCGCCGCAGCCUCCCCUGCGUAGUAGCACACACCUCGCACCGGAGCGCGGAGGCGGUCACGCCGUAAAACGCCCAACUUUCUUAGAGUUGACCUCGGAUCAGGUAGGAAUACCCGCUGAACUUAAGCAUAUCAAUAAGCGGAGGA